GGCUGCUCGAGUGAGUGAGGGAGUGAAACUGCAUUCCUGGCUGCCCUCUGCUCACCCCCUGGGCUGGGGCGGGGAGCUCUGUACACAUUAUGAGUCUACCUUACUGAGCUACCGCAAUAAAAAUAAUGCUGCAAACAUACUGUUCUUUAUACUUAAUGAGGCUCAUAAAACUAAUAACAAUUAAUUAUUUUCCUCAGUAAAAUACAUCAUAUGAAUUAUUUUUCCUGUAGUUGUAUAUGGAUUGGAAUCGAAAAAGUGUUAGUUAAAAAUCUACUAUGUGACUGACUUGGUGCCGAGGUGGGAAAAGAAGUGUAUGAUCUAGUUCUUAUCCUAAAGCAGUUUCUUCAGGAAGCUUAGAAUACCGGAAGUCCUGCUCUGCUUAGCCAGAGUCAGAUGCUUGAUGAGAAGAGACUCCUCAUAAAGGGAAAGAAAAUCUUGGAGCUGGAGGAGAAUGAGAAACAAAACAGUGGUCACUGAAAACUGCAUCUUUCUUGAUUUUGUGGAGCAUUGCAUUGGGAUUGGAGAUGUUUCCAGUUUGGAGAUUCUCUCUAUGAGGGAUGUUCCUCUCUAUUCUCCUUUUAUUGUCCACACUCCAAGCCUCCAUUUCCCACCAGGGACUUGCUCUACCCUCCUGAACAUCUGUGAAAAAUUCAUAGCAAGGGCACUGAAGUGGAAAAUCCCAAGACUGUGCUUCAGUGGAUUCUAUGGCUCUCAGACUAGGUUUCCCUAG
rnacentral:lncRNA from 1 species